AUACGUAGGUGGCGAGCGUUAUCCGGAAUUACUGGGUGUAAAGGGUGAGUAGGCGGGAGAGCAAGUCAGAUGUGAAAUGCAAAGGCUUAACCUUUGAAUUGCAUUUGAAACUGUUUUUCUUGAGAGUCGGAGAGGUAAUCGGAAUUCCUAGUGUAGCGGUGAAAUGCGUAGAUAUUAGGAGGAACACCAGUGGCGAAGGCGGAUUACUGGACGACAACUGACGCUGAUACACGAAAGCGUGGGGAGC
rnacentral:rRNA from 1 species